AUUGAACGCUGGCGGCAGGCCUAACACAUGCAAGUCGAGCGAGCGGCGGACGGGUGAGGAAUGUCUGGGAACCUGCCUGAUGGAGGGGGAUAACUACUGGAAACGGUAGCUAAUACCGCAUACCAUCAGAGGUGCCCAGAUGGGAUUAGCUAGUAGGUGGGGUAACGGCUCACCGAGGGGACGAUCCCGAGCUGGUCGGAGAGGAUGACCGGCCCCACGGGAACUGGGACACGGUCCAUACUCCUACGGGAGGCAGCAGUGGGGAAUAUUGCACAAUGGGCGCAAGCCUGAUGCAGCCAUGCCGCGUGUGUGAAGAAGGCCUUCGGGUUGUAAAGCACUUUCAGCGGGGAGGCGUUACCCGCAGAAGAAGCACCGGCUAACUCCGUGCCAGCAGCCGCGGUAAUUC
rnacentral:rRNA from 1 species